rnacentral:rRNA from 1 species
AUUGAACGCUGGCGGCAGGCCUAACACAUGCAAGUCGAACGGUAACAGGAAGAAGCUUGCUUCUUUGCUGACGAGUGGCGGACGGGUGAGUAAUGUCUGGGAAACUGCCUGAUGGAGGGGGAUAACUACUGGAAACGGUAGCUAAUACCGCAUAACGUCGCAAGACCAAAGAGGGGGACCUUCGGGCCUCUUGCCAUCGGAUGUGCCCAGAUGGGAUUAGCUAGUAGGUGGGGUAACGGCUCACCUAGGCGACGAUCCCUAGCUGGUCUGAGAGGAUGACCAGCCACACUGGAACUGAGACACGGUCCAGACUCCUACGGGAGGCAGCAGUGGGGAAUAUUGCACAAUGGGCGCAAGCCUGAUGCAGCCAUGCCGCGUGUAUGAAGAAGGCCUUCGGGUUGUAAAGUACUUUCAGCGGGGAGGAAGGGAGUAAAGUUAAUACCUUUGCUCAUUGACGUUACCCGCAGAAGAAGCACCGGCUAACUACGUGCCAGCAGCCGCGGUAAUACGUAGGGUGCAAGCGUUAAUCGGAAUUACUGGGCGUAAAGCGCACGCAGGCGGUUUGUUAAGUCAGAUGUGAAAUCCCCGGGCUCAACCUGGGAACUGCAUCUGAUACUGGCAAGCUUGAGUCUCGUAGAGGGGGGUAGAAUUCCAGGUGUAGCGGUGAAAUGCGUAGAGAUCUGGAGGAAUACCGGUGGCGAAGGCGGCCCCCUGGACGAAGACUGACGCUCAGGUGCGAAAGCGUGGGGAGCAAACAGG